rnacentral:rRNA from 1 species
UACGUAGGGUGCAAGCGUUGUCCGGAAUUAUUGGGCGUAAAGAGCUCGUAGGCGGUCUGUCGCGUCUGCUGUGAAAUCUCAGGGCUUAACCCUGGCCUUGCAGUGGAUACGGGCAGACUAGAGUGCGGUAGGGGAGACUGGAAUUCCUGGUGUAGCGGUGAAAUGCGCAGAUAUCAGGAGGAACACCGGUGGCGAAGGCGGGUCUCUGGGCCGUAACUGACGCUGAGGAGCGAAAGCGUGGGGAGCAAACAGG